rnacentral:rRNA from 1 species
GACGAACGCUGGCGGCGUGCCUAAUACAUGCAAGUAGAACGCUGAAGAGAGGAGCUUGCUCUUCUUGGAUGAGUUGCGAACGGGUGAGUAACGCGUAGGUAACCUGCCUUGUAGCGGGGGAUAACUAUUGGAAACGAUAGCUAAUACCGCAUAACAAUGGAUGACACAUGUCAUUUAUUUGAAAGGGGCAAUUGCUCCACUACAAGAUGGACCUGCGUUGUAUUAGCUAGUAGGUGAGGUAACGGCUCACCUAGGCGACGAUACAUAGCCGACCUGAGAGGGUGAUCGGCCACACUGGGACUGAGACACGGCCCAGACUCCUACGGGAGGCAGCAGUAGGGAAUCUUCGGCAAUGGGGGCAACCCUGACCGAGCAACGCCGCGUGAGUGAAGAAGGUUUUCGGAUCGUAAAGCUCUGUUGUAAGUCAAGAACGAGUGUGAGAGUGGAAAGUUCACACUGUGACGGUAGCUUACCAGAAAGGGACGGCUAACUACGUGCCAGCAGCCGCGGUAAUACGUAGGUCCCGAGCGUUGUCCGGAUUUAUUGGGCGUAAAGCGAGCGCAGGCGGUUUGAUAAGUCUGAAGUUAAUGGCUGUGGCUCAACCAUAGUUUGCUUUGGAAACUGUCAAACUUGAGUGCAGAAGGGGAGAGUGGAAUUCCAUGUGUAGCGGUGAAAUGCGUAGAUAUAUGGAGGAACACCGGUGGCGAAAGCGGCUCUCUGGUCUGUAACUGACGCUGAGGCUCGAAAGCGUGGGGAGCGAACAGGAUUAGAUACCCUGGUAGUCCACGCCGUAAACGAUGAGUGCUAGGUGUUGGAUCCUUUCCGGGAUUCAGUGCCGCAGCUAACGCAUUAAGCACUCCGCCUGGGGAGUACGACCGCAAGGUUGAAACUCAAAGGAAUUGACGGGGGCCCGCACAAGCGGUGGAGCAUGUGGUUUAAUUCGAAGCAACGCGAAGAACCUUACCAGGUCUUGACAUCCCGAUGCUAUUUCUAGAGAUAGAAAGUUACUUCGGUACAUCGGUGACAGGUGGUGCAUGGUUGUCGUCAGCUCGUGUCGUGAGAUGUUGGGUUAAGUCCCGCAACGAGCGCAACCCCUAUUGUUAGUUGCCAUCAUUCAGUUGGGCACUCUAGCGAGACUGCCGGUAAUAAACCGGAGGAAGGUGGGGAUGACGUCAAAUCAUCAUGCCCCUUAUGACCUGGGCUACACACGUGCUACAAUGGUUGGUACAACGAGUUGCAAGUCGGUGACGGCAAGCUAAUCUCUUAAAGCCAAUCUCAGUUCGGAUUGUAGGCUGCAACUCGCCUACAUGAAGUCGGAAUCGCUAGUAAUCGCGGAUCAGCACGCCGCGGUGAAUACGUUCCCGGGCCU